CAUAUUGGUUCGAUGCCUCUGCUGGUGGACUAUUAGUCCCCGAGGGUAUCACCAGCCCAGUAGCCAGUACUUCGGUACUGGCAUGAAAAUACGGAUUUUUUUGUGUUAUUAAAAUUUCCUGUUACAAAAUAUUAGAAAUUAUUAUAAAUUAAGGAAUGAAUCUCCCUCAUGCAAAGCUCUGAUUCCUUUCACGGAUUUGGCUAUACUUUU
rnacentral:lncRNA from 1 species